rnacentral:rRNA from 1 species
CCUACGGGAGGCAGCAGUGAGGAAUAUUGGUCAAUGGGCGAGAGCCUGAACCAGCCAAGUCGCGUGAAGGAUGACGGCCCUACGGGUUGUAAACUUCUUUUAUAUGGGAAUAAAAUGUCCCACGUGUGUGAUUUUGUAUGUACCAUAUGAAUAAGGAUCGGCUAACUCCGUGCCAGCAGCCGCGGUAAUACGGAGGAUCCGAGCGUUAUCCGGUUUUAUUGGGUUAAAAGGGAGCGUAGGGGGAUUGUUAAGUCAGUUGAGAAAGUUGGCGGCAAAACCGUAAAAUUGCAGUUGAAACUGGAAGUCUUGAGUACAGGAGAGGUGUGCGGAAUUCGGGGUGUAGCGGUGAAAUGCUUAGAUAUCACGGAGAACUCCGAGUGCGAAGGCAGUUCACUGGACUGAAACUGACACUGAGGCUCGAAAGUGUGGGUAUCAAACAGGAUUAGAUACCCGUAGUC